GGUCGGACGGCUUCUGUUACAGGAAGCUUCUGGCUGGGUUUUAAGAGAGGUCUGCCCCCACCCCACCUCACCAUCACCACAACGCCCUGGUCUUUGUCUUCUUUAGUAGGCCAAGGCGGGAAGAUAAAGAGAACAACUGCGCCAUCUGCUGGGCAUCCUGGACAAGCUCAUCUGCGUCCAGAUGCAAAAGCCCAUCAAAGCUUUUCCCGAGAGCCCAGGGUCAGCAGAAACCCAGCCUUACAGACACACUUUUUAGAGCUCUUGACAUUUCCUCAAAGAAAGAACGGUCCUCUGUCUUUGAAGAUUGACAUUCUCUGGCACCAAGCGGGAAUACUGCUAGCAAAUCUUUUCCCUUUCUUAAAGUAGCUGUAAAAAGGAUGAUUAAACCAUAGAAAUGGGAGCAUCACUGAAAAAAAGAAGUUUUGUAAAGAUCAGCAUGGUGCAGUUCAGAGUGUUUAGGAUCUAUCAGUAUCUGGAAUCAGCAGAUACAGGUUCAAAAUCAUUCUGUAAAUGUUCCACCACUGGAAAACUUUCAAAAUAUCAGACAGCCA
ensembl:lncRNA